AUGGAAAAUCUUGAGGAGCUCAGCUUCCAUGGGGGUGCACCUAAUCUUGAGAGGCUCACAUUGGCUUUCAAUAGGGUGCUCCGUGGAGGUGUUAAUGGCAUUGAGCAACUGUUGCAUCUAAGAGAAGUUGAGUUCUUCAGUCACAUUAUCGAGUCUGUAUUUAAUUAUGUCUUUGAGGCGGCCAAAAGAAAUCCAAAUCGUCCGAAAGUCACCAGGGACGAUCGACCUACUACGGAAGCUGCACAAGCAAGUUCAGGGGCAGGGAGCAGUGAGCAGGAGUCGACCGCCGACCAGCAGGUGGAUAUGCGUGCACUACGACGUGCAGAUGAAGACGACGAGGCAACGCCAGCUUGGCGUGUGCUGCCUUCAACGUGUCCUCACGCUUAUAUACUGUAA
rnacentral:rRNA from 1 species